UCCACAGUAGCUCAGUCGGUAGAGCAAUCGGCUGUUAACCGAUCGGUCGUAGGUUCGAGUCCUACCUGUGGAG
rnacentral:tRNA from 1 species